UUCUCCUCCUACAGAGCAGUCCUCUCUUAGCAGGUCUCACCAAACCCAGGAACAGAGCGCUCAGCGCCAUGCCGGCCGCACAGGAGUAGAAGGCCGAUCCGUAGUUUUUAGUCACAUCCACCAGCACUCCUGAGAGAUAAAAGAAGGCAUAUUUGAAGACUCACGAUGAACUGUGGAGGAGCUCAGAACACUGAAGUCCUGUUCUCUAAGUGGUGGUCCAGCCAGGCCAGCAAAGCUGUGGAUGAACACAUAGACACCAGCAGCUGAAGACAUCCUCUCUAUUCCCACCACAUCGUCCUCAGCCAGCAUGGGGAUGUGGGUGCAUGCCAGCGUUCCCAUA